rnacentral:rRNA from 1 species
CAACCUGCCUUACACUCUUGGACAGCCUUCUGAAAGGGAGAUUAAUACAAGAUGUUAUCAUGAGUAAGCAUUUUCACAUGAUUAAAGGUUUACCGGUGUAAGAUGGGGAUGCGUUCCAUUAGAUAGUAGGCGGGGUAACGGCCCACCUAGUCUUCGAUGGAUAGGGGUUCUGAGAGGAAGGUCCCCCACAUUGGAAUUGAGACACGGUCCAAACUCCUACGGGAGGCAGCAGUGAGGAAUAUUGGUCAAUGGACGAGAGUCUGAACCAGCCAAGUAGCGUGAAGGAUGAAGGUUCUAUGGAUUGUAAACUUCUUUUAUACGGGAAUAAACGGAUCCACGUGUGGAUUUUUGCAUGUACCGUAUGAAUAAGGAUCGGCUAACUCCGUGCCAGCAGCCGCGGUAAUACGGAGGAUGCGAGCGUUAUCCGGAUUUAUUGGGUUUAAAGGGAGCGCAGACGGGUCGUUAAGUCAGCUGUGAAAGUUUGGGGCUCAACCUUAAAAUUGCAGUUGAUACUGGCGUCCUUGAGUGCGGUUGAGGUGUGCGGAAUUCGUGGUGUAGCGGUGAAAUGCUUAGAUAUCACGAAGAACUCCGAUUG